rnacentral:rRNA from 1 species
GCUAAAGCUCGAAGGUGCGGGUAUCGAACAGGAUUAGAUACCCUGGUAGUCCGCACGGUAAACGAUGGAUGCCCGCUGUUUGCGAUACACUGUGAGCGGCCAAGCGAAAGCGUUAAGCAUCCCACCUGGGGAGUACGCCGGCAACGGUGAAACUCAAAGGGAUUGACGGGGGCCCGCACAAGCGGAGGAACAUGUGGUUUAAUUCGAUGAUACGCGAGGAACCUUACCCGGGCUUGAACUGCAGGAGAACGAUACAGAGAUGUUGAGGUCCCUCGGGACUCCUGUGGAGGUGCUGCAUGGUUGUCGUCAGCUCGUGCCGUGAGGUGUCGGCUUAAGUGCCAUAACGAGCGCAACCCCUCUCCGUAGUUGCCAUCGGGUGAUGCCGGGCACUCUGCGGACACUGCCACCGUAAGGUGCGAGGAAGGUGGGGAUGACGUCAAAUCAGCACGGCCCUUACGUCCGGGGCUACACACGUGUUACAAUGGGUGGUACAGAGCGUCGGUGCUGCGCAAGCCGCAUCCAAUCAUGAAAGCCAUCCUCAGUUCGGACUGGGGUCUGCAACCCGACCCCACGAAGCUGGAUUCGCUAGUAAUCGCGCAUC